rnacentral:tRNA from 1 species
GGCCCCUUGGUCAAGCGGUUAAGACACCGCCCUUUCACGGCGGUAACGCGGGUUCGAGUCCCGCAGGGGUCACCA